rnacentral:other from 1 species
UAUUCCCUGCGGUGUUUGUUAAGGCUCAUACUCUUUGAACCAACUCUAAGUAACGGGUUGUAAACUAAAGCGAUGCUGUUGAGCGCUUCUCAUCGAAGAAGAGCCUGAUGCAUACGGUGAGCAACCACCUUGAACCACUAGGUUCAAGAUGACAGCCUGACGGCAUUUGCGGGGAAACU